rnacentral:rRNA from 1 species
AAGACCUUGCGCUUUUAGAGCGGCCGAUGCCUGAUUAGCUAGUUGGUGGGGUAAUGGCCUACCAAAGCUUCGAUCAGUAGCUGGUCUGAGAGGACGGCCAGCCACACUGGGACUGAGACACGGCCCAGACUCCUACGGGAGGCAGCAGUGGGGAAUUUUGGACAAUGGGCGCAAGCCUGAUCCAGCCAUGCCGCGUGAGUGAAGAAGGCCUUCGGGUUGUAAAGCUCUUUCAGUCGGGAAGAAAAGGUUGCGACUAAUAAUCGCAAUUCAUGACGGUACCGGAAGAAGAAGCACCGGCUAACUACGUGCCAGCAGCCGCGGUAAUACGUAGGGUGCGAGCGUUAAUCGGAAUUACUGGGCGUAAAGGGUGCGCAGGCGGUUUUGUAAGUCAGAUGUGAAAUCCCCGGGCUUAACCUGGGAACU